rnacentral:rRNA from 1 species
AAACUGAAGAUGGCGGCCGGCGCACGGGUGAGUAACACGUAUCCAACCUGCCGAUAACUCUGGAAUAGCCUUUCGAAAGAAAGAUUAAUACCGGAUAGUAUACGAAUAUCGCAUGAUAUUUUUAUUAAAGAAUUUCGGUUAUCGAUGGGGAUGCGUUCCAUUAGUUUGUUGGCGGGGUAACGGCCCACCAAGACUACGAUGGAUAGGGGUUCUGAGAGGAAGGUCCCCCACAUUGGAACUGAGACACGGUCCAAACUCCUACGGGAGGCAGCAUG